AUCUUUAACUUGUUUUCCAGGAACCUUGUCGGAUGACACCGGCUAUGCGCACUCUCGGAGGAGGGCGGACAUCGCGCGGAAACAGGGAAAACACGUCAGGUGGAAGCGCCAACCUGUGCAGAUUGAGUUCCUUAAGGAGCCCCCGCUAGAGGAGACCUCGCCCCUUCCCCCGUCCCCCCAGCCGUCUGACCGAGAGACUACGUCACCUAGCCCGGACAUGACGUCGGCUAGCCCGGACUCGGAGCGGACGGACCGAGUCGGGUCGGUGGAACUCCCUCCUUUACCCAACCUGCCGGACCUACAGGCGGAGGGUGAAGAUACAAAGGAGAAGCAAUCUGAGGAAAACAUCGAGCAGAAGGGCUCCGAAGAGAGCGUUCAAUCAGCGAAGACCACCAUGAAGCGGAGACCGAAACCCAAGCCGAAAACAUGGAGAGAUCUCAUCAA